CAAAAGCACAAAGAACAGUAAAUAUGUCACAGAUGUGGCACAUUUGCACAACCCCAUUUUUGACACCGAGGACACCCCCGUCUCUCUGAUCUGCCUAGUCAGGUCCAGCAUCCCUGAGCCAAAUCUCUGCAAGUGUUCCAGUCAGGACAGAUUAAGUUUCACCGUAAACCAAGAAGCUCAUCUUUAUUUCUAAGCAAUUUAUUUAAGAGCCUCCUAAAAUCUACUAACUUCCAGGCUGAAAAUCAUUUAAAAUCAAAUGAGUUUCCUCGCAGAUAAAACUCGAGAUCAUCCUUCAGCUUUGGGGAUAAUAGAACUCAGCGGUCCUUUCCUCCCCACGCUGAGCGGGAGAUGGGUGAUAGAGGAGCGGCAUAGAACCUCCAAGGAGGCCCAUGAGCCCCACGGCUGUUUCCCGACGCCAGCGGAGGAAGGAGGUUAGAGGCUCCCUCUGCUGUUAUCCCUCGGGUGGAGGAAGCCCUGAGCAUCCCUCCAGCCCCUGAGGUCCGAGUCCUGGGGGCCCACGCCCCCACCAGCCUGGCCUGGCCUCAAUCCCACUUAUGCCCAGCCCAGACCACCCCCUGCCCAGUGAGCUCCCCCAAGGCUCUUCCUCGUGGCAAAUGAGAUUCUCAGAGCCCUCUGGAGAGUGCUAAGUGCAUGGGGAGGUCACAGCUGACCCGUCACCCCCGCCCCAACUGCUCAGUGCCCCAGACUUCUCACUGUGCAUGGCCUCAGGCCGUGCAGAGUCUAUCCCACUCCCUCCAGCCUCCUUUUGCCCUUCCUCACCACAUCAGUUCACCUUUGUAGCAAUAAUGCUUAGAAACAAAUCACCCGGAAACUCUGGUUUCAACCCGAGUAUUUAUUUAGCUCACAAGCUGCAGGUCAGGGGUCAGGCUGAGCUCAGGUGACUCUUCUGUCCUCGCUGGGGUCACUCGGGGCUCACUCACUAGUCUGGGGCUGCUUGUCUCUCUGCUGCCACCAGGCAGCUCUGUCCCAUCCCUCGAUGUGUCUCAUUCUCAGCUGGGGAGCCUAGACACUGCUCAGUGAUGGUGAAGGAGAGAGGAAGAGCCAGCAGGUGCCUUCCCAGCCUCUGCCCUCGUCCCAUCCCACGGCCAGACACAGAACAAAGGAACGGAAAGAGACUCCACCCUCGGGAGGUCGUCACAGUUUGGGACAAUCAAUGAUUCCCCAGUGCGUCAGCCCAGGAUGGACGCCGCAGACCGAGACCUUGACCGUUGCAUUCCGCCAGGUUGGACCUCCUGGCCCAGGGCAGGGCAUGGCAGGUACUCAGUGGACCCUGGUCAGCAGAACAAACAGCAGAGUUGCCACGGGGAUGGCCUGGGGGACAGAGCAACCGACUGAAUGUGGGCGCUUUGCUAUACGUGAUUUACUCCUCACCUGAGGUGGCCGAGCCACUGCCCUGGCGCUGCAUCCUCUCUCCCUGGGGGAGGGCCCUGUCCCGAGGGUGAGGCCAACGCCUGCCCUCCCCACCCACCCAGCCUGGCCCACAGGGUGCACUCGCCUCACCCCGUCAUGAAGGACUCGGGUCCAGGCCCCUGCUCCUCUCUCCAGCCCUGCUUGUGAAUUCCGCACAGCAAAGAGAGGGCCCUUCCCGACAGCGUGGGCUCGGCCUCCAGGAAACAUGCUCGGGAGAAACUGGGUGACGUGGAUGAAUCACUGGUGCUCGGAGGCAAAUCGACUGCGACUACUCCCUACAGCAGCCCCAGAGCAAUGCCUUCUGGAUCCUCACUGUCGUUGUGAUACUAAAAUACAUUAUUUUUAAAGA